rnacentral:rRNA from 1 species
ACACACACGCUACAAUGGUCUGUACAAUGGGUAGCCAAGCCGCGAGGCGGAGCCAAUCCUGAAAAGCCAGGCCUCAGUUCAGAUUGCAGUCUGCAACUCGACUGCAUGAAGCCGGAGUUGCUAGUAACCGCAGGUCAGCAAUACUGGCGGUGAAUUACCGGUUCCCGGGUCUU